CCUGCCCCUAGAGGAGUUGCAGGUGUGCCUGCUGUGUCACAUGUGCAUUAGUCGGUGGCAAAGAGGAGAGAGGUUAUAUCUCUGCCCAGUGUUCUGACCUGUGAAUAUUUAGGGAAUAGCUUAACAUU